AUUGAACGCUGGCGGAAUGCUUUACACAUGCAAGUCGAACGGCAGCACGGACUUCGGUCUGGUGGCGAGUGGCGGACGGGUGAGUAAUGUCUGGGGAUCUGCCCGACAGAGGGGGAUAACCACUGGAAACGGUGGCUAAUACCGCAUAACGUCGCAAGACCAAAGAGGGGGACCUUCGGGCCUCUCACUAUCGGAUGAACCCAGAUGGGAUUAGCUAGUAGGCGGGGUAAUGGCCCACCUAGGCGACGAUCCCUAGCUGGUCUGAGAGGAUGACCAGCCACACUGGAACUGAGACACGGUCCAGACUCCUACGGGAGGCAGCAGUGGGGAAUAUUGCACAAUGGGCGCAAGCCUGAUGCAGCCAUGCCGCGUGUAUGAAGAAGGCCUUCGGGUUGUAAAGUACUUUCAGCGGGGAGGAAGGCGACGCGGUUAAUAACCGCGUCGAUUGACGUUACCCGCAGAAGAAGCACCGGCUAACUCCGUGCCAGCCGCCGCAGUAA
rnacentral:rRNA from 1 species